GCGCCUGUAGCUCAGCCCGGACAGAGCAACGGCCUCCGGAGCCGUGUGUCAGAGGUUCAAAUCCUCUCAGGCGCGCCACACC
rnacentral:tRNA from 1 species